rnacentral:rRNA from 1 species
UACGAAGGGGGCUAGCGUUGCUCGGAAUGACUGGGCGUAAAGGGCGCGUAGGCGGUUUGUACAGUCAGGUGUGAAAUUCCCGGGCUCAACCUGGGGGCUGCACUUGAUACGUAGGAACUGGAGUGGGGAAGAGGGUCGUGGAAUUCCCAGUGUAGAGGUGAAAUUCGUAGAUAUUGGGAAGAACACCGGUGGCGAAGGCGGCGACCUGGUCCAUUACUGACGCUGAGGAGCGAAAGCGUGGGGAGCGAACAGG